GAUGAACGCUGGCGGCGUGCUUAACACAUGCAAGUCGAACGUGAGAGGUAGCAAUAUCUUGGAAGUGGCGAACGGGUGAGUAACACGUAGGUAACCUGCCUCGGAGUGGGGGAUAACAGUUAGAAAUGACUGCUAAUACCGCAUGAAUCCAUGGAUUAGGGAUAAUCGAUGGAGAAAACUCUGGUGCUUCGAGAGGGGCCUGCGGCCGAUUAGCUAGUUGGUGGGUAAAGGCCUACCAAAGGCGACGAUCGGUAGCUGGUCUGAGAGGACGAUCAGCCACACGGGAACUGAGACACGGUCCCGACUCCUAACGGGGGCAGCAGUGAGG
rnacentral:rRNA from 1 species